AAGUGCAAUGUGGAUUGGUUUGAUGCCUGGCUGUGCAUGCAGAUCUCUAGAGAUAGAAAAUAAAAGAUUCUAUUUUGGUAAAUUGAAUUAGUUUUGGAAACUAAGAGAUUGAAUACUACUAGGACAAGGAGUCUUAUAGAUUUUUUAAUAUAAAUAGGUAUCGAGGGGUAUGUUCCUGGUGUGCUUUUCGUUAGAUUUUGAAUAAUUGUUGAUUCUAUAUCGACAAUUUUGAGACGAGUGUUGUUGCGACAUAGGAGUGGUGCAAUCCGACGAUCUGAUCGGCGACACAUGAGCGACAUGAUGAAGGUAGCGGCGGCACAAGAGCGGCGCGAUGAAGAUUUUGACCUCGUCGAAGCACUGUUCGUUCUGGAAGUCAUCGCCAAAGUUCCCCGUGGGUCUGAGCAAGGCAAGU